CAGAUAGAAGCCAAAAGGUCAGGCGCUUUCUUUGGGUGAAAGAUCUAGUUAGUUCGAGUCUAUCCUAUCUGA
rnacentral:tRNA from 14 species